rnacentral:rRNA from 1 species
UACGGAGGGGGCAAGCGUUAUUCGGAUUUACUGGGCGUAAAGGGCGCGUAGGCGGCAAUUCAAGUCGUCUGUGAAAUCUCUGGGCUUAACCCAGAACGGCCAGGUGAUACUGCUUUGCUAGAGUGCGGAAGGGGCAAUCGGAAUUCUUGGUGUAGCGGUGAAAUGCGUAGAUAUCAAGAGGAACACCUGAGGUGAAGACGGGUUGCUGGGCCGACACUGACGCUGACAGCGCGAAAGCCAGGGGAGCAAACGGG